rnacentral:rRNA from 1 species
UGGGUUGGUUACCAUGCAAGUUCUGAGGGCAUCCUGAUUUCGGUCUGGUGGCGAGUGGCGAACGGGUGAUUACAGUAAAGGAACGGGCCUAGUAGCGGGGGAAACUACGCUCCUCUAGAAACUAAUACCGCAUACGCCCUUCGGGGGAAAGCAGGGGAUCGUAAGACCUUGCACUAUUAGAGCGGCCGAUAUUUUGAUUAGCUAGUUGGUGGGGUAACGGCUCACCAAGGCGACGAUCCGUAGCUGGUUUGAGAGGACGACCAGCCACACUGGGACUGAGACACGGCCCAGACUCCUACGGGAGGCAGCAGUGGGGAAUUUUGGACAAUGGGGGAAACCCUGAUCCAGCCAUCCCGCUUGUGGGAUGAAGGCCUUCGGGUUGUAAAGCACUUUUGGCAGGAAAGAAACGUCCCGGGAUAAUACCCCGGGAAACUGACGGUACCUGCAUAAUAAGCACCGGCUAACUACGUUGCCUGCAGCCGCGGUAAUA